rnacentral:rRNA from 1 species
UACGGAGGGUGCAAGCGUUAUCCGGAUUCACUGGGUUUAAAGGGUGCGUAGGCGGGCAGGUAAGUCAGUGGUGAAAUCUCCGGGCUUAACCCGGAAACUGCCGUUGAUACUAUCUGUCUUGAAUAUAGUGGCGGUGAGCGGAAUAUGUCAUGUAGCGGUGAAAUGCUUAGAUAUGACAUAGAACACCCAUUGCGAAGGCAGCUCGCUACACUAUCAUUGACGCUGAGGCACGAAAGCGUGGGGAUCAAACAGG